AGCUUUGCGCAGUGGCAGUAUAGCAGCCAAUGAGGUUUAUCCAAGGUGCGAUUAUUGCUAAUUGAAAACUUAUCCCAAUACCCCGCCAUGAUGGCUUGAAAGGCAGAAUUAGAGGGGAAGGGGGAGAUCUUACAGC
rnacentral:snRNA from 1 species